rnacentral:rRNA from 1 species
CGAGUGGCGGACGGGUGAGGAAUACAUCGGAAUCUACUCUGUCGUGGGGGAUAACGUAGGGAAACUUACGCUAAUACCGCAUACGACCUACGGGUGAAAGCAGGGGAUCUUCGGACCUUGCGCGAUUGAAUGAGCCGAUGUCGGAUUAGCUAGUUGGCGGGGUAAAGGCCCACCAAGGCGACGAUCCGUAACUGGUCUGAGAGGAUGAUCAGUCACACUGGAACUGAGACACGGUCCAGACUCCUACGGGAGGCAGCAGGU